rnacentral:rRNA from 1 species
UACGUAGGGGGCAAGCGUUGUCCGGAAUCAUUGGGCGUAAAGAGCGCGUAGGCGGCCCAGUAAGUCCGCUCUGAAAGUCAGGGGCUCAACCCCUGAAUGCGGGUGGAUACUGCUGGGCUAGAGUCCGGAAGAGGCGAGUGGAAUUCCUGGUGUAGCGGUGAAAUGCGCAGAUAUCAGGAGGAACACCGGUGGCGAAGGCGGGUCUCUGGGCCGAUACUGGCGCUGAGGAGCGAAAGCGUGGGGAGCGAACAGG